UGCAUUCCCUUCUAUUCUAAGUCAUAAUAACAAGAGUAGAAAACCCCUUAAGUUAGAAAGGUUUAGAGAAGUCAAGAUCAAGAGGUAAUUAACACUUCAACUGUAAUGUAAGGACAAAAUUAUUUUUAUACUUAAGUUCAGUUUUAACAAUCCCUUUAUAUUAUGAUGGCUAUUAUAGUGUGAUUAGUUAUAUUCUAAAUCUUUAUAUGGUCGGCCCUGCCGCCUAAUAUAUGAUGUUAUGGUCGGCUCUGCCGCCUAAUAUGUGAUGUCAUGGUCGGCUCUGCCGCCUAAUAUGUGAUGCUAUGGCCGGCUCUGCCACCUAAUAUGUGAUACUUGUACUUAAUUAUCCUAUGGUCAGCUAUGCAGCCUAUACUGAAAACUCUUGUUUUUAAAUAAUGUUGUGUGUUGAUUUUGUUAUGCAUUGAGGAAUUUCAAAUUGGAUGCAUGCAUAUCAUGGACUAUACUAUGAAGAAGACGUUUAGCCCCCAAAGCUAAGUUGAAAGAAAUCUUUUGGGGACGGCGAUACGUAACGCCCAAAAGAUCAACUAAUGAGGCCCAAGGGCAUGGCAUAUUGUUUAAAGAGUAAAAGUGUCAGCCUUGUAGUGCAACAUACCUAGGGCCCAAAUAAAGUUGUUUUGUAUUUUCUAAAUUUAUUUUAAGAGCUUAAUAUGGUCAUCCAUAUGCAUCAUAAUUUAUACAUGCAUCAAAGUGUUAUCUUACUAGGCAUUAGUUCACUAAGUCCUUACAUUGUAGGUAACGAUGAGUAGGGCAAGCUGGCGCCAAGUCCUAACGAAGACGAAGUGCAUAUGGGCAUAACUGACCUUGGGAUUUUAUGAUGGGCUUAGCUUUGUGUUAAUAAAAAUAAGUAUUUUGGAUUUAUGUAAUAAUUAAGUUUUUAAAUAAACAAAAAAAUCUCUAUAUGACUCUUACUUUUCUGUAACAAAGUGUUGUUCGAUUAUGC
rnacentral:lncRNA from 1 species